CCUACGGGUGGCAGCAGUAGGGAAUAUUGCUCAAUGGGGGAAACCCUGAAGCAGCAACGCCGCGUGGAGGAUGAAGGUUUUCGGAGUGUAAACCCCUUUUGUCAGAGAAGAUAAUGACGGUAUCUAACGAAUAAGCACCGUCUAACUCCGUGCCAGCAGCCGCGGUAAUACGGAGGGUGCAAGCGUUACUCGGAAUCACUGGGCGUAAAGGGCGCGUAGGCGGGAUAGCAAGUCAGAUGUGAAAUCCUAUGGCUUAACCAUAGAACUGCAGUUGAAACUGUUGGUCUAGAGUAUCGGAGAGGUAGGUGGAAUUCUUGGUGUAGGGGUAAAAUCCGUAGAGAUCAAGAGGAAUACUCAUUGCGAAGGCGACCUGCUAGAACGUAACUGACGCUGAUGCGCGAAAGCGUGGGGAGCAAACAGGAUUAGAUACCCUUGUAGUC
rnacentral:rRNA from 1 species